rnacentral:rRNA from 1 species
CCCCCUUUCUUAGUUGCUAACAGGUUAUGCUGAGAACUCUAAGGAUACUGCCUCCGUAAGGAGGAGGAAGGUGGGGACGACGUCAAGUCAUCAUGGCCCUUACGCCUAGGGCUACACACGUGCUACAAUGGGGUGCACAAAGAGAAGCAAUACUGCGAAGUGGAGCCAAUCUUCAAAACGCCUCUCAGUUCGGAUUGUAGGCUGCAACUCGCCUGCAUGAAGCUGGAAUCGCUAGUAAUCGCAAAUCAGCCAUGUUGCGGUGAAUACGUUCCCGGGUCUUGUACUCACCGCCCGUCACACCAUGGGAGUUGUGUUUGCCUUAAGUCAGGAUGCUAAACUAGCUACUGCCCACGGCACACACAGCGACUGGGGUGAAGUCGUAACAAGGUAACCGUAGGUGAACCUGCGGUUGGAUCACCUCCUUUCUA